AACGAACGCUGGCGGCAUGCCUAACACAUGCAAGUCGAACGAGACCUUCGGGUCUAGUGGCGCACGGGUGCGUAACGCGUGGGAAUCUACCCUUGGGUUCGGAAUAACAGUGAGAAAUUACUGCUAAUACCGGAUGAUGUCGCAAGACCAAAGAUUUAUCGCCCAAGGAUGAGCCCGCGUAGGAUUAGCUUGUUGGUGAGGUAAAAGCUCACCAAGGCGACGAUCCUUAGCUGGUCUGAGAGGAUGAUCAGCCACACUGGGACUGAGACACGGCCCAGACUCCUACGGGAGGCAGCAGUGGGAAUAUUGGACAAUGGGCGAAAGCCUGAGUCCAGCAAUGCCGCGUGAGUGAUGAAGGCCUCGGUU
rnacentral:rRNA from 1 species